rnacentral:rRNA from 1 species
GGGUGAGUAACACGUGGGUAAUCUGCCCUGCACUUCGGGAUAAGCCUGGGAAACUGGGUCUAAUACCGGAUAGGACCUCGAGGCGCAUGCCUUGUGGUGGAAAGCUUUUGCGGUGUGGGAUGGGCCCGCGGCCUAUCAGCUUGUUGGUGGGGUGACGGCCUACCAAGGCGACGACGGGUAGCCGGCCUGAGAGGGUGUCCGGCCACACUGGGACUGAGAUACGGCCCAGACUCCUACGGGAGGCAGCAGUGGGGAAUAUUGCACAAUGGGCGCAAGCCUGAUGCAGCGACGCCGCGUGGGGGAUGACGGCCUUCGGGUUGUAAACCUCUUUCAGCAGGGACGAAGCGCAAGUGACGGUACCUGCAGAAGAAGCACCGGCCAACUACGUGCCAGCAGCCGCGGUAAUACGUAGGGUGCGAGCGUUGUCCGGAAUUACUGGGCGUAAAGAGCUCGUAGGUGGUUUGUCGCGUUGUUCGUGAAAUCUCACGGCUUAACUGUGAGCGUGCGGGCGAUACGGGCAGACUGGAGUACUGCAGGGGAGACUGGAAUUCCUGGUGUAGCGGUGGAAUGCGCAGAUAUCAGGAGGAACACCGGUGGCGAAGGCGGGUCUCUGGGCAGUAACUGACGCUGAGGAGCGAAAGCGUGGGGAGCGAACAGGAUUAGAUACCCUGGUAGUCCACGCCGUAAACGGUGGGUACUAGGUGUGGGUUUCCUUCCUUGGGAUCCGUGCCGUAGCUAACGCAUUAAGUACCCCGCCUGGGGAGUACGGCCGCAAGGCUAAAACUCAAAGGAAUUGACGGGGGCCCGCACAAGCGGCGGAGCAUGUGGAUUAAUUCGAUGCAACGCGAAGAACCUUACCUGGGUUUGACAUGCACAGGACGCCGGCAGAGAUGUCGGUUCCCUUGUGGCCUGUGUGCAGGUGGUGCAUGGCUGUCGUCAGCUCGUGUCGUGAGAUGUUGGGUUAAGUCCCGCAACGAGCGCAACCCUUGUCUCAUGUUGCCAGCGGGUAAUGCCGGGGACUCGUGAGAGACUGCCGGGGUCAACUCGGAGGAAGGUGGGGAUGACGUCAAGUCAUCAUGCCCCUUAUGUCCAGGGCUUCACACAUGCUACAAUGGCCGGUACAAAGGGCUGCGAUGCCGUAAGGUUAAGCGAAUCCUUUUAAAGCCGGUCUCAGUUCGGAUCGGGGUCUGCAACUCGACCCCGUGAAGUCGGAGUCGCUAGUAAUCGCAGAUCAGCAACGCUGCGGUGAAUACGUUCCCGGGCCUUGUACACACCGCCCGUCACGUCAUGAAAGUCGGUAACACCCGAAGCCAGUGGCCUAACCCUUUGGGAGGGAGCUGUCGAAGGUGGG